UCUCAGGGCUGUUAAUCUGUAAAAGCCGGGCGUGGCCGGCUGGCUACCCCCUGAGAACAGCACGACCACGUGCAAGAGGUUUUCAGAAGUUUCUUCUAAAGUGAACAUACCCCUCCCAGCUCCGCGGCCCAGCAAUUGCACGCUCGGGGUAUUUCUCCAGGGAUGAAAACAGACGUCGCCACGAAGACUUGUACACCGAGGUCUGGCUCACCGCUGCCCCACGUCGCACCGCGGGGAAGGGGACAAGCAGGUGCCGUCACGCUCCGUGGAAAACCACGCUACUUUCCGUAGCAACAAGCUGCCGACAGGCGCCUCCGCGGCUGAACCUCGGAGGCCGAGCCAGACGCGAAGGAAUAGGGCCAAGGCACCUACGCCCCCAGCUGCCAGGAGACUGUCGCCGAUGGCUCCCUGCCGAGUCCCUCACUAGGAAUCAUCCCGGACCAAAGGGAGCAGCCACCCUGCCCCUGCAUCCAGUGAGGGUCAUCCCAGCUGCACAGUCCCUGGAGCCGAAGAGGCAGAAAUAUUAAGUAUCGUGUACAAGGCCACCCAAGAAAGCAUUCACGCCCUGCGUCGUCCCUGUCUGCCGGCCAUGAACCACGUAGUCUCCCGGGGACCGGGGAGCCGGAAGGCCACGUUGGGGUGCUCUGAAUGAAGCUCAAGUGAGACGUGUGCAAAGCACUGGGCAUGCGGAGGACCCUUGAGUUACCAUCACUCUUGUUCCCCCUUCCCCAUGACCUUGCAAAUGUCUGCUCGGAGGAGGGCCUGCCAGGGCCAGAGGCCAGGUCUCCGGAAGGGGCUCCCAAGGCUCGCUAGGGUUGCGAUUCCGGCUCCUGUCCUGCGACCCCGCCGCCCGCACCUGAAUUUAAGGGCUCCGCAGAAGAGCGAAACUCUGGGGAAGAGGGAGGACGGCACAGGGCCAGUGCUUCGGGAAGUGGUGUCUCAGCCCAGCGGUGAGCCAGCUUGCUGGGUGCGACUUCCGUUUGUCCUUGAUCCGAACAUCCGCCCCCUUCACCCCAAUCCCCUAUCUUCACACUGUUCCCUCCAUACCCUUUAACCUGAAUUUGACCCCACCUUGUCAAGAACUUCACCCCGACCUUCCCUGGUACAACCAGUUUAACAGAGAGGCACCAUUGCAA